rnacentral:rRNA from 1 species
UGGGGAAUAUUGCGCAAUGGGGGAAACCCUGACGCAGCGACGCCGCGUGAGCGAUGAAGGCCUUCGGGUCGUAAAGCUCUGUCAGGUGGGAAGAAACUUCCGUUGACUAAUAAUCGACGGAACUGACGGUACCACCAGAGGAAGCACCGGCUAACUCCGUGCCAGCAGCCGCGGUAACACGGAGGGUGCAAGCGUUGUUCGGAAUCACUGGGCGUAAAGGACGCGCAGGCGGUUCGGUAAGUCAGAAGUGAAAUCCGUCGGCUCAACCGACGAACUGCUUCUGAUACUGCCAGACUUGAGUACGGGAGAGGAAAGCGGAAUUCCCAGUGUAGAGGUGAAAUUCGUAGAUAUUGGGAAGAACACCGGUGGCGAAGGCGGCUUUCUGGACCGAUACUGACGCUGAGGCGUGAAAGCGUGGGGAGCAAACAGGAUUAGAUACCCUGGUAGUCCACGCUGUAAACGGUGAGUACUAGGUGUAGGGGGUACCGACCCCCCCUGUGCCGCAGCUAACGCAAUAAGUACUCCGCCUGGGAACUACGGCCGCAAGGCUA